rnacentral:rRNA from 1 species
UACGUAGGGACCGAGCGUUGUCCGGAAUCAUUGGGCGUAAAGAGCGUGUAGGCGGCCUUUUAAGUCCUGCGUGAAAUCCUGCGGCUCAACCGCAGACGGUCGUGGGAAACUGGAAGGCUAGAGUGCGGGAGAGGAGAGUGGAAUUCCCGGUGUAGCGGUGAAAUGCGCAGAUAUCGGGAGGAACACCGGUGGCGAAGGCGGAUCUCUGGGCCAUUACUGACGCUGAGGAGCGAAAGCGUGGGGAGCGAACAGG